GCCCGCUUGGCUCAGUUGGUAAAGCGUGUCACUCGUAUUCCAUGCGAUAUGACAAGAUCAGUUGUUCGAAUCAGCUAGUGGGCA